AAAAGUACUUCCAGAGAAGAUGCCACAUCUACAUAUGAGACAGAUAAGGCACGUGAAAAUGAUACCACACUUCGGUACUUAGAAGUUUCGUGAUUACUCAAUGGCUUGGAUCUUGCAAGUCCCCAACCGAGGAGCUUCCCUCGCUCGGGAACUUAGGGGAGCACUGUUUGUACCAUACUUGACCAAUCCCGAAACUACUGAGCACCGAUCAACGUUAUACCGUCAAGGACCCAGAAGAGCUUCCCUUAAACCAGGAGGCCAAUCACAAUGCGACACGUGUCGACAUCAGAAGCAAUCACAGCGCGACAUGUGUCAACAUCAAAAGCCAAUCACAACAUGACACGUGUCAAUGUUAGAAAAAAACUAGAAACUCUCUUCUAUAAAUAGGGAUCAUUCUCCCACAAUAAUCUCUAAUGUCAUUUUGUACUAAACUAUUCACUAGAACUCACAAAAUGAGAGCUUGAACCUAUGUAUUUGUGUAAACUCUUCACAAUUAAUGAGAACUCCUCUACUCCGUGGACGUAGCCGAUUUGGGUGAACCACGUACAUCUUGUGUUUGCUUCCCUGUCCCUAUUCAUUUACGUACUUAUCUUCACUAGUGAUCGAAGCAACCAAGCGAAGGUCACAAACCUGACACUUUCUGUUGUACCAAAGUCCUCGCUGAUUUUGUGCAUCAACACCAUGGAUUGCAGAUAUAUAGGCUGUUUCACACCUUUUCAAAUACCAGUUCAGUGUAUUUGAAGGUUCACAACUCUUUUCUAAGAGCUGUGUCUUUUAAUCAAAACGUUUUUAAUUAAUAAUAUAUAAAUUAAUUAAAAACUUAAUCCGAAAAUUAAAAUUAAUGAAUCAGAUUAAUUUUAAAUUCCAAGGGCCUAGGCCCUUGUCUUGAUUAAUUAAUAUUAAUUG
rnacentral:lncRNA from 1 species